rnacentral:rRNA from 1 species
UAGGGAAUCUUCGGCAAUGGACGAAAGUCUGACCGAGCAACGCCGCGUGAGUGAAGAAGGUUUUCGGAUCGUAAAACUCUGUUGGUAGAGAAGAACGUUGGUGAGAGUGGAACGCUCAUCAAGUGACGGUAACUACCCAGAAAGGGACGGCUAACUACGUGCCAA